rnacentral:rRNA from 1 species
UACGGAGGAUCCAAGCGUUAUCCGGAUUUAUUGGGUUUAAAGGGUGCGUAGGCGGCCUAUUAAGUCAGGGGUGAAAGACGGUAGCUUAACUAUCGCAGUGCCUUUGAUACUGAUGGGCUUGAAUGUACUUGAGGUAGGCGGAAUGUGACAAGUAGCGGUGAAAUGCAUAGAUAUGUCACAGAACACCAAUUGCGAAGGCAGCUUACUAAAGUAUGAUUGACGCUGAGGCGCGAAAGCGUGGGGAUCAAACAGG